rnacentral:rRNA from 1 species
GAUGAACGCUAGCUACAGGCUUAACACAUGCAAGUCGAGGGGCAGCAUGAACAAAGCUUGCUUUGUUUGAUGGCGACCGGCGCACGGGUGCGUAACACGUAUCCAAUCUGCCCGCGGCUCGGGGAUAGCCCAUCGAAAGAUGGAUUAAUACCCGCUGGCGUGGUUUCUCCGCAUGGAGUUUCCACUAAAGGUUUUCCGGCCGCGGAUGAGGAUGCGUAUGAUUAGGUAGUAGGCGGGGUAACGGCCCACCUAGCCUUCGAUCAUUAGGGGUUCUGAGAGGAAGGUCCCCCACACUGGGACUGAGACACGGCCCAGACUCCUACGGGAGGCAACAGUGGGGAAUUUUGGACAAUGGGGGCAACCCUGAUCCAGCCAUGCCGCGUGAGUGAAGAAGGCCUUCGGGUUGUAAAGCUCUUUCGGUGGGAACGAAACGGUGCCGGUGAAUAUCCGGCAUCAAUGACGGUACUCACAGAAGAAGCACCGGCUAACUACGUGCCAGCAGCCGCAGUAACAC